rnacentral:rRNA from 1 species
CCAGCUCUAAUAGCAUAUAUUAAAGUUGUUGCAGUUAAAAAGCUCGUAGUCGGAUUUUGGGCGCGUGUGGGCAGUCGGCUUCCGUCGUACAGCACGCACGUGCCUUUCUGCUUGGAAUCCCCGCGGUUCGCCGUGGUGGGUUGCAGGCCGUUUACUUUGAAAAAAUUAGAGUGUUCAAAGCAGGCUAUUGCUUGAAUAGAUUAGCAUGGAAUAAUGGAAUAGGACCUCGGUGCUAUUUCGUUGGUUAUGGGACUGGGGUAAUGAUUAAUAGGGACAGUUGGGGCCGUUCAUAUUUCGUUGUCAGAGGUGAAAUUCUUGGAUUUACGAACGAUGAACUUGUGCGAAAGCAUUCGGCAAGGAUGUUUUCA